UCAAUGAUGCCAUAAGUAUUUCUUCUCUUCUCCUCGCACGCUUUUCUAUUCUUACCAAAAUUAUCACCCUUAGUUAUACCACAAUUACGCUUUGUUAAAGGACAGGAAUACAGUAUCUUGUUGAUCCCUCGUCAUAUAUAUAUAUAUAUUUCGGUCGUCUUAUUAUUUCUAUGAAGACAUUUAGGCUAUCAUAUUCAAAUAGAAGUGUAUAGUUAAGCUUUUAAUUAAAUAUUGAUAAGGUAAUAUUAUAAUACAGUAUCAAAUAAAAUACUAUGUAGGAUUUUAAUAGUAUGAGAUACCUAUAUUUAUUUAAUUCAUUUUACAAAUUGAGAAGAAAUAAUAUGUCAAUGACAGUACUCGAGUACUUCAUAGAUAAAUAGCUGUUGAUGUGAUUUAAAGUAUUAAAACAAGUAGCGAAACGCGAACAUUAGCCUAAGGGGAAAGAAUGGUGCAGCGUUACAAAUUUUUUUACCUAAGAUGUCGCUUUUCAUUUUUCUGCCACCGAGACUCACUCACAAAUAUAAAUUGAUCUUCAGUUAAGUUCAUAAUGCGGUAAAUUUUGAAUUACUUGAAUUUAAGUAUAGUCAUAUUGAUGACCGUUAUCCACGAAAUUUCUGAAAUUCACCUUUUUCAUUUAGUUACUCAAAGGUUAUUGUAUAUUAUUACUGUUGUAAUUCUUUGGACCUCAUCAAGUCGCCAAGAGUCCUUAUUUCUUCGCCAAAUCACGAGACGAAUAAGUAUUUACUUCAUUGUCGUCAUAUGGUAUUCAAAUUUUUCUCCGAGAUAGUAAGUGUAUUUCCUUAUAGUGGUAGAGGAUGCUAGAUAUUCCCCUCCUUGACUAAGGAAUUACGUGAGAGGAAGAUGAAAAGGACCAAACUGAAUCCCUAUCUAUUGAAAUGACCUUUCUGAAUCCAAGAUUAAUAUAACACUAGUUUUCCUAAUUUCAUAAUACGAGGGAUUUACCAAAGAAUAUACUAGUGACUACAAUAUCUAUAUAAUCAAGCACGCUGAGGUUUUGAAGAAGAUUUAUCACUAUCAGCAUAAGCGAACGGAAAUAUGGGGAUAUAUCAGAUAAUAUAGGAGUUGAUUUUUUUUACCAAAGUAAAUAAACUGAUAUCAUACUAUAAGAAUAUCGUAGAUGAUUUGGAUCCAGAGUGGCUAGCUUUAGCUUCUCUGUUAUAAAUUUUUUUUGUCUUCCUGUAUAUUUUGUGCAAAUACAUGUAUAAUAUCGAUAUAAC
rnacentral:lncRNA from 1 species